rnacentral:rRNA from 1 species
UACGUAGGGGGGCAAGCGUUGUCCGGAUUUAUUGGGCGUAAAGAGCGUGUAGGCGGCCAGGUAGGUCAGCUGUGAAAACUCGAGGCUCAACCUCGAGAUGUCGGCUGAAACCAUCUGGCUAGAGUCCGGAAGAGGAGAAUGGAAUUCCCGGUGUAGCGGUGAAAAUGCGCAGAUAUCGGGAAGAACACCCGUGGCGAAGGCGGUUCUCUGGGACGGUACUGACGCUGAGACGCGAAAGCGUGGGGAGCGAACAGG